GACGAACGCUGGCGGCGUGCUUAACACAUGCAAGUCGAACGGCAAGGCCCUGCUAUCGUGGGGUGCUCGAGUGGCGAACGGGUGAGUAACACGUGAGUAACCUGCCCUUGACUUUGGGAUAACUUCAGGAAACUGGGGCUAAUACCGGAUAGGAGCCCCUGCUGCAUGGUGGGGGUUGGAAAGUUUCGGCGGUUGUGGAUGGACUCGCGGCUUAUCAGCUUGUUGGUGGGGUAGUGGCUUACCAAGGCUUUGACGGGUAGCCGGCCUGAGAGGGUGACCGGCCACAUUGGGACUGAGAUACGGCCCAGACUGCUACGGGGGGCAGCAGUGGGGAAUAUUGCACAAUGGUCGGAAGCCUGAUGCAGCAACGCCGCGUGCGGGAUGACGGCCUUCGGGUUGUAAACCGCUUUCGCCUGUGACGAAGCGUUAGUGACGGUAAUGGGUAAAGAAGCACCGGCUAACUACGUG
rnacentral:rRNA from 1 species